AUGGUGCACAUCCAGCCGCUCGAGGUGUCUGUCGAGGCCGGCAACCUCGCCGACCCCGCCGCGGCCGCGCUCGAUGACGACGGCCGCCCGCGCCGCACCGGCACCGUCCUCACCGCAAGCGCGCACAUCGUCACCGCCGUCGUCGGCUCCGGCGUCCUCUCGCUCGCCUGGGCCACCGCGCAGCUCGGCUGGGUCGCGGGUCCCACCACCACGGCGCUCUUCGGCGGCGUCAUCUACUACAGCUCCACGCUUCUCGCCGACUGCUACCGCACCUGCGACCCUGCCGCCGGCACCCGGAACCACUCCUACAUGGAGGCCGUCCGAGCCAUCCUCGGCGGCGCCAAGGUGAAGUUCUGCGGCGUCAUACAGUACACCAACCUCGUCGGCAUCACCAUUGGCUACACCAUCGCCGCCUCCAUCAGCUUCCAUGCCAUCACGAGGGCCAACUGCUUCCACGACAAGGGGCACGACAACGCGUGCCACAGCUCCAGCACGCCCUACAUGAUCGGCUUCGGCGCCGCGCAGAUGGUCUUCUCUCAGAUACCCAACUUCGAUCAGAUACGGUGGCUCUCCGUCGUCGCCUCCGCCAUGUCCUUCACCUACUCCGGCAUCGGGCUCGGGCUCGGGAUCGCCCAGACCGUGGCCAACGGCGGGUUCCGAGGCACCCUCACCGGCGUCGCCAUCGGCACGGCGGGCGUCACCGUGAUGCAGAAGCUGUGGCGCGUCCUGCAGGCGCUGGGCAACAUCGCCUUCGCCUACUCCUUCUCCAACGUGCUCAUCGAGAUCCAGGACACCAUCAAGGCGCCACCGCCGUCGGAGGCAGCCGUGAUGAAGAAGGCCACGGCGCUGAGCGUGGCCACCACCACGGCGUUCUACGUCAUGUGCGGGUACAUGGGCUACGCGUCCUUCGGCAACGGCGCGCCGGACAACCUCCUCACCGGGUUCGGCUUCUACGAGCCCUUCUGGCUGGUGGACGUCGCCAACGCCGCCAUCGUCGUGCACCUCGUCGGCGCCUACCAGGUCUUCUGCCAGCCCAUCUUCGCCUUCGUCGAGCGCUGGGCCGCCGCCAGAUGGCCAGAGAGCGGCUUCGUCACGCGGGAACUUGGGGUGGGGCCGUUCGCGGUGAGCGCGCUCCGGCUUGUCUGGCGCUCGGCGUUCGUGUGCCUGACCACCCUGGUCGCCAUGGCGAUGCCAUCCUUCGGCGCCAUCGUGGGGCUCAUGGGCGCGCUCUCCUUCUGGCCGCUCACCGUCUACUUCCCCGUGGAGAUGUACAUGAAGCAGCGCGCCGUGGCGCGCGGGAGCGCGAGGUGGCUCUGCCUCAAGGCGCUCACCGUCGCCUGCCUCGUCGUGUCGGUGGCCGCCACCGUGGGAUCAAUCGCCGGCAUGGUCGGCGCGUUCAAGGUGUUCCGCCCUUUCAGUGGCUAG
rnacentral:rRNA from 1 species